AAAAUAUCUACUCAACAUGCUCAAGAUCUCUGUGAGAAAAUUGCUGAAGUGAGAAGGUAUUUAGAUGGAAAUAAGAGUAACCGCAUUUUGGAGCCCAAGCCCACAGCGGGAAUCAUGUCAGAGUUCAGUCAUACUAGCUACAGAAAUAAUAGUCCACCCUACAAUCUAGAUCUGAUUUUCACCCUUUAGCACACCAAAAGAUAGCCCUUACCAACCCACAAUGUAAGAUGCAGAAUAUUGAUGAGAACGAGAACUGAGUGCUCUCAGCUGAGACUGAAAGUCCACAUGAGCCAACAAACUGCAGGCUCCAAACCCCACUAAGACCAUAGGAUCCCAAAGAAGCCCUGAAUUCACACUGUGGGUCAGCUUGCUUACUGAAUGGCACUUGUAAAACCGCAGGUCUUUCUACAAAAUAUGGUCAAAGCCAGUCCCCUAGAAAAUGCUGUUUUGAGUUCCCUAAAUGCUGUUUUGAGGCUGUAAAUAAGGGUACUUGUUUUUAUUUGUUUGUUGAUUGUUGGUUUGUUUUUUUUUUUCAAUUUUCUUCCUGGAGUUCACAAAAAAAGAAGGACAAAUUCAUAGCUGUGACUGAUGAAAUGGUCACUUGGGGAUCUCAUUUAUCUGAAAGCUCUCACAUCUGCACUCCACUGCAACAAUAUACAUCUGUAUAUACAUCUGCAGAGAACCAUAGUAGGUCCUAGCGUGAGCCAGAGGAGCAGAGGACAGCUCUUUGGUGUGGUGCAAACUUGUAUGUGUAAUUCUAAACUAAUUAUCUUGUUUCUGGUCAUUUUGACUUAUUCAAUAAGAAAAAAAAAAUCUGAAAUGCCUUUGGAAAAGUAUAACUUGAAAAUACGGAAGCAUUACAAGGAGUGGCUGAGGUCACUUGGCCUGUUCAGCCCGGAAAAGAAGAGGCUGAGGGGAGACCUCACCAUGGUCUACAUCUUCCUCACAAGGAGAAGUGGAGGGGCAAGCACCAAUCUAUUCUCUUUGGUGACCAGUGACAGGACCCGAGGGAAUAGUGUCAAGCUAUGACAGGGGUGGUUCAGGCUGGAUAUCAGGUAAAGGUUAGUCACUCAGAAGUUUGUCACGCACUGGAACAGGCUCCCCAGGGACGUAGUCUCAGCACCAAGCCUAUCAGAGUUGAAGAAGCAUUUGGACUGUGCUCUUAUGGUCUGAAUUUUUGUGUAGACCUGUGCGAAGCCAGGAAUUGGACUCGAUGAUCCUUAUGGGUCCCUUCCAACUCGGAAUAUUCUAUGAUUCUAUGUUUUCUUUCUAAAAAUAUAAAAGCACCUCACAAUAGCAGCUUGUAUUUAUUUGCAUGUAAAAAUAAAAAUCAGCAUAUCUUUGCUCACCAUGAAGGUUUCUAUAGAGCAUUUCACAUCUAUAUGAGAAAGAAAUGGAGAUUGUCAGCGAGGGAGAAAAGUAAAGUGUACAAUCAAGCAGUCAGUUGUACCUGCACCCCCAUCAAACAGAAAUCCCUUUAUGGGAUUAUUCAUGUAUAAAGCUAAGCAUGGCAAUAAAAGCAGAAGGUCACUGAAGUUAAUGGAGUUAACAGAUAAGGAACUUCCUUUGUAGUAGUGCUGAGGAAAUGUGUCUAUAAUUUCCCCACCUUUUUUAAUACUUUCUCUUUAGAGGACCCAGUUUGAAAAGCAGCAGCUAGCUCACACUGCUUCAGCAACACAGGAAACUCCUUUUGAAGACUGCUGCUCUCAGUUUGAAAGCACUACCAUCACACAAUCUGAAGUGCCAAUCUGAUAUAAUCUCUUUUUGUUGUAUACUCUUCAGAAAGGAUGAAGACUGGUUAACUUUAUAGCAGCAGACUUCAUGCCAGUCCAGGGAUUGCUGCUUUAUGCCAGAUGAGUUAUUGUUUAUCCUCCCAGCAGGUCUAAAAGCAUAAAGCUGGAAUAAAUGCCAUGACAUGGGGUCUGGUUCUCUUAGCAGAUACAUGAUGAAGGGGAUCAGAUACAUGCUGCUGGGAUCUGGCAAUGUACAGGUCUGGUACUGACUGCUACAGGUCGUGGACUAGUGGCCUCAGAGGUGGAAGGACUGAACUUCCUGGUGGUGAAAGGUGAAGAAAUGGGAAGUCUGUUGACAAAAAACUUGUUGAAGCUCUUGGGUUCACGUUUGAAAUAAAUAUGUAUGUAAGCAAUGUGCAGGCUUACAGUAAGAGCACUCUGUCCAUUCUGAAUGCAAGUACUUGUCAGGUAAAAUUGCACUUGGAGUGUGUGGAGAAACUCUGUAGUGUGUUGACACAGUGUUCAAACUCUUAGAAACAUUUCAGAAUAUUGGCAUGUUGUUCUCUUUGUUCUCUCCUACAUAAUCAACUGUGUCUUUAUAAAAUAUAUAUAUAUAUGACAGCCUGUUUUCCAAAUUACAAAACAAGCUUUAAAACAAGUUCUAAGGCAUCUAAUAAAUCAGUUUCUGAAAGAUUCUCAGCUAUACCAUUUAGUUGUAAUGAAAAAAAAAUCUAUUAUUGUGUAUUCAAGAAAAACUUUUCAAAUUUAAUAUUCUAUAUAUAUAUAUUAAUUUUCUUCUCAAACUCACUUGCCAGCAAUGAAUAUCUAAUGGAUUAGUGAAAUUGUCAUAGUUCAAGGUCAGUGUCAAAUGCCAAGUUUGUAAAUUUCAAAAUUAUUUCCUGUAACUUUUCCCAUAAUCUAAUAUCUGAUAAUUUAUUUAUUUAUUGAUAAAUAACCCACUUUGCUAAAAUAUGUUAUUUUACUAAUAGUUUACAUUUUUUGUUAUUUAGUAUUGUCUCAAAUGAGCCACUGUUUUUGAGCUACCAGAUACAUUUCUAAGUUAUCAGCUGUCCUAAAAUUAUGUGUUCUAUUAUAAGAUGCAUAUAGUAUUUCAGUAUUUUAAAUAACAGCCAGUUCAAGUAACAUACCAAAUUACUUCUGUGUUUGCUGAAAAUAAUAGUUCAAUAUUUGCCUGUUGGUAUACAUGAAGAAAUAUGUUACCAUUUCAUUUUAGUAGCAUGAUAGAUUAGAAAUAUUUCCCAUCUUGAAAUGCUAAAUAGCAAUGUGAUUUCUGGGCACUUUUUUCCCAUUACUUUUUGUGCUGUGGAUGAUUUUGUGCAUAAUUUUUUUUUUAAUAUUGACAGAUUGUUGUAAUAUUUUUAAACACA